UUACGGCCACAUCACAGUGAAACACCCGUUACCGUACGAUCACCAAAGUUAAGCAACGUCGAGAAUGGGCAGUACCUAGAUGGGUGACCACUUUUAAGUAGAACGU